AUGUUCGUUUAUUGCCUCCAGCUAGUUAAAAAUCAAUUCCCAAGUGAUAGCUUCCAAAGGGAAAGAUACACAUGUACUCCAGGAAAACACAAAUUACUUUUCACCUUUAGAUACGAAACAGGUCUCCUGCAGCUCCGGGUUCUGAUUUAUCCGCUGUCACAUCCGAAGCCCAUCCCCGCAGUCCCUUCCUGCACGUCAGGCUUCGCUGUUCGGAUCACGUCUAAGUUUUCAAGCCUACUGCACCCCUGAGCAGAGAGCUUCCCCUCAAGCCCCUCAGCUCCGACUUCCCAGCCUGACAACUGUUCAGGGGAGCUCUUGCGAUGCUGCACAGGGGGCGACCAGAUUCUCAGGGCCCAAAACAGCUGCCAGGCAAGCCUCUCUCUGUUGGCUCUUCUCCGAGCUCCUGGACACUGGCAGGAUCCUUAUGAUCAUCAUCUCAGACAGAAGAACAAGUGAGUUUUUGUUUUUAUUGCCUAUUAUUGUUCAUGUCGCUUAGGGCUGAGAUUGAGUUUUUAAAUCACAGUAGAUGCCUUUGAAGAAGCUUAGGACCAAAAGACAGACUUUCCCCCAAGGCCUAUAACCAGCUAGUGGCAGAGUUUGUAUUCAUUCCUGUCUCUACCACACCACCCUUUAUUUCUGUCUCUCUAUAGUGUCUACAUACUAGUUGCUCAACAAAUUGUUAACUGGUUUAAUCUGAUGCAGUUAAGUGAAUCAUCAUAUGAGUUAAUCUUGUCACAGCAUUCGGCUCUGCUGCAAAGCUCCUGCCCAGGGAGUAACUCCACUCAGACACGAGCCCCCUCAUCCCUCUUCUGAAGGCCGGCUGGAGCUGUGAGGAAGCCCAGGCUGCCAUCCCUACAUCCUUGAGACCAAGGGGCGGUGCAGCAGAGGAGAACCAUCCCCCCUGACCGUCUGUCCAACCUCUCUGGGUUCUG
rnacentral:lncRNA from 1 species